AACGAACGCUGGCGGCAGGCUUAACACAUGCAAGUCGAGCGAGGACUUCGGUCCUAGCGGCGGACGGGUGAGUAACGCGUGGGAACGUGCCCUUUCCUCCGGAAUAGCCCAGGGAAACUUGGAUUAAUGCCGGAUACGCCCUUUUGGGGACAGAUUUAUCGGGGAAGGAUCGGCCCGCGUUGGGUUAGGUAGUUGGUGGGGUAAUGGCCUACCAAGCCGACGAUCCAUAGCUGGUUUGAGAGGAUGAUCAGCCACACUGGGACUGAGACACGGCCCAGACUCCUCCGGGAGGCAUCAGUGGGGAAUCUUGGACAAUGGGGGCAACCCUGAUCCAGCCAUGCCGCGUGAUCGAUGAAGGCCUUAGGGUUGUAAAGAUCUUUCAGCUGGGAAGAUAAUGACGGUACCAGCAGAAGAAGCCCCGGCUAACUCCGUGCCAGCAGCCGCGGUAA
rnacentral:rRNA from 1 species